rnacentral:misc_RNA from 1 species
UCCGGUUUGGCACCGGCAGUCUCCCUAGAGUUCCCGGCAUGAUCCGCUGGCAACUAAGGACAGGGGUUGCGCUCGUUGCGCCACUUAAGGCAACACCUCACGACACGAGCUGACGACAGCCAUGCACCACCUGUGCACUGGCCCCGAAGGGCUGCCGUAUUUCUACGACAUUCCAGUGCAUGUCAAGCCCAGGUAAGGUUCUUCGCGUUGCGUCGAAUUGAACCACAUGCUCCACCGCUUGUGCGGGCCCCCGUCAAUUCCUUUGAGUUUCAACCUUGCGGCCGUACUCCCCAGGCGGAGUGCUUAAUGCGUUAGCUGCGGCAGUGAAAGCGUUGAAACUUCCACCACCUAGCACUCAUCGUUUACAGCUAGGACUAC